rnacentral:misc_RNA from 1 species
GUGGGAGGGGGCUUGCCCCCGAUGGCGGCGUGUCAAUCAACACAUCUGUUACUGAUACACCGCUAUCGGGGGCAAGCCUCCUCCCAC